UCGCCUCCAACUCGGCGAGGACGUGAUCACUUAGUUUAAUUAAAUAUAAUCCUUUUUAAAAAGCUUCCACCCCGCUCCCGAAAUCUGACUGGCGCAGCCGUUCGGAUUUAUUGCUGCAAGUUUUCCUAAAGUUUACGCGAUUGGUGUCAAAAUCCGCCGUUUAAAUUCGUGAUACUACGGGAAACUAAUAAAUCCGCCGAACCAAAUAAAUUUGUCAUCGAAGUACGGGUGGAACGAGUAUGCAGAGAACGGUCGGUUGGUGGUGCCUUCUGCUGAUGAUAGGGACGCAGGCGCUGGCCCUUCAACUGCAACCAAUUAAAGAUAAUCCAGGCAUUCUACCGGUAAAACAAGGACAAGCAUUUUUGCAAACAGAUUUUUGGACAAUUAUUAAAGUAAUCAACUUAAAAGGAAUUUACUCCGAUCUUGUUAGUUUAACCAAUAGUUACAGGCAAUUAGACACUUUAAUCGAUUAUAACAAUCCAUAUUAUCAUGAAUUUAUCAAUAAUAAAUAUCACACUGAUUUCAUCCGCGACAUAACAUUAGAAAAAAACAGGCAAUUAGUACCACAGCAACGCUAUAAGCGAGGCCUUAUUAAUCCAUUAGGAUCUCUUAUAAAGUUAAUUACAGGAAACCUUGACCACGAUGAUGCACUUAAAUAUGAUAAGUUGACUUCUCAAUUGAGUAAUAAUCAAGUUAUAAUAUCUAAGAAAAUUACCCUGGUCUCAAAAAUGUUCGACAGUUUCAUAAAUAUUUCAGAGCAAAUAAAUAACAACUCUAUUAUUAUUGAUGAACGCUUGAAACGAGUUGAAAGCCUAUUGCAAAACAUAACGUCCACACAAAACGAUUGGACUUUUUCUACAUACAUACUAGGAGUGUAUAACAUAUUCAUAAGUAGUUUCCGUACAAUAUUUAUAAGAUUAAGUGAAAUAGAAACAGCAUUAGCAUUAAGUAGAGUAUCCAUUUUACACCAAGCAAUUGUAAACUCUACAGAAUUAUUGUAUCAUUUAAAGUUAAUUUCAAACUCUGCCAAUUUAGUUUACCAGCCUACGGAAAGUAAUUUGUUAAAUUUAGAAGAAACUAUUUGUGUAAAAUCUUAUAUGAAACAGGAUCAGAUAACAUUUAUUUUAGAAAUACCAUUGAUAGAUAAUUAUACUUACAAUUAUUAUAAGAUAUACUCACUUCCUAUAUUCCAAGAAUCCCAAAACGUUACGCUUUCCAUUUUCCCCAAAUUUCCUUACCUUUUGGCGAAGGGUUUGAAAUACUUACCGAUCGUAACACCGUGUCGCCCGCUUGCCGCCGGCGAUCGCUUCCUGUGCUCUACGGACAACCAGGCUCUACAUAACGAGCCUACCUGCGUGGAACAGCUGAUGAGGUUCAGUAAGGACCUUACCUCCUGCAAGCAGCACCAGAUCCAGCUGGAAGAAGUAAAACUCCAGCAGCUCAACGCGAACAACUGGAUUCUGUACAGCAGACUGAAAGCCACGCUGACCAAACACUGCGACAGCGAAGUCAGUAAGCAGUCAGUCUUCGGCACGUACAUCAUCACCAUCGAUGAGCCUUGUGACCUGGAAAUCCAUGGCCUGCAGAUCCACCAUCGACUCUACAUUUCAUCAGACAUCGUAGAACACAUACCGGUGAUUCACCUACCCGAGCUACCUGUAAACGCAACGCUAUCCGGUGCACGCGCACUCAAUAUGCAUGGAAUCAAUUUGGAUGAAAUCAAAUACAUGUCAUACGCCCUGAAACACAGUGCAGCAAUCAGUGCUAGUGAAAAUGAAACAGACACUUCUUAUUUUACAUACUUUACAUUUGUAUUAGUUUUGAUUCUUUUUAUGUUAAUUGUGUUAAUUGCCUUCCGCAAACAUGUAGAAAUUUUAUGUAAACGAAAUUAUCGGAAUACUCAUAAAAAUGAAACUUCCGAUAAUUUCUCACUUAGGGAGGGAGGAGUUAUGCAUCCGUCAGCUCCCUCUGCUCUAGACUAAACAAGAUAAGUCAUCACUUUCCACUCUACAGUGUAAGCAUUCGUAGAAUUGUUAUUCACAUAAGAGAUGUGUCAGCAGAACUAAAUUGUAAACACCGUACUGGACGACUGCGAUCGGCCACAAUAUUAAAUCAUUAUUAAAUCGCCUCCAACUCGGCGAGGACGUGA